AAGACUUAUAACUUCGACCUGCUCUACUGCAACUUCAGAGAGAUAAGACUUGUAACUUCGACCUGCUCUACUGCAACUUCAGAGAGAUAAGAUCUGUAAUUUAGCUUCAAUCUGUUCCACUGCAACAUCAGGGAAAUAUGAUUUUCUAUCUUUAGUCUGCUCCACUGCAACUUCAGGGAGAUAAGACUUGUAACUUCGACCUACUCUACUGC
rnacentral:lncRNA from 1 species